GAGAGAGUGCGAUGUUGGCAUGGUUCAAUCAAAUCAUCGCCCGGCAAGGUGACUUAAAUUUUGCGCUUUCGAUCGAUCGAGGUGCAGGGAGGUGUUUCCAGGCACCGUGUUUGAUUGAGCCGUGCCAAUAUCACAACCUUCUCU
rfam:Sorghum bicolor cultivar BTx623 chromosome 1, whole genome shotgun sequence.